UGCACUUCAACAUUUAAAACGAUAAUACGUAUCGAAGAGAAUCCAAGUGUCUUUGGUGUUGUUUAUUUUCGGGAUAAUUACGCGCUAUUAUGCACGGUACCAGAAAAUAUGGCUGCGCCAUUGAUUUUAAAGUUACCACAUUUCACCGCGGCCACUCAUCAAGCUAUUAUGGAAAUCGAUGUUCUAGACCAGUUGGUCGCGUACCGCAUAGAAACCUGUAAUUUGGAAGUCUCACUGGUCAGGGACAAACAGUUCGCUGCUUGUGUUGUUCAUAAGAAGAAAGGCUCGUGUAAAAAUAAGAAGAGAAAG